GAUGAAGAACGUAGUGAAAUGCGAUACUUGGUGUGAAUUGCAGAAUCCCGCGAAUCAUCGAGUUUUUGAACGCAAGUUGCGCCCGAAGCCAUUCGGCCGAGGGCACCUCUGCCUGGGUGUCACGCAUCGUUGCCCCCCCAAACUCCGGUUCGGGCAGGGCGGAAGUUGGCCUCCCGUGCGUGCCUGCGCGCGCGGUUAGCCCAAAAGCGAGUCCUCGGCGACGAGCGCCACGACAAUCGGUGGUUUUUUUACCCUCGUUCCUCGUCGUGCGUGCCCCGUCGCCCGAACGCGCUCUUGCGACCCUUACGCGUCGCCUCGGCGGCGCUCCCAACGCGACCCCAGGUCAGGCGGGACUACCCGCUGAGUUUAAGCAUAUCAAUAAGCGGAGGA
rnacentral:misc_RNA from 1 species